CCUACGGAUGGCAGCAGUGGGGAAUAUUGCACAAUGGGGGAAACCCUGAUGCAGCAACGCCGCGUGAGUGAAGAAGGAUUUCGGUUUGUAAACUUCUAUUCUCAGGGAAGAAAUAGCUGACUUUAGAUGGCGAGUCAGUCCCUGACUACGAAGCGCCAGCUAACUACGUGCCAGCAGCGGCGGAAAUACGUAGGGGGCAAGCGUUAUCCGGAUUUAUUGGGUGGAAAGGGAGCGUAGGCGGCAGCACAAGUCAGAAGUGAAAUGCCGGGGCUUAACCCCGGAACUGCAUUUGAAACUGUGCUGCUAGAGUGCAGGAGAGGGAGGUGGAAUUCCUAGUGUAGCGGUGAAAUGCGUAGAGAUUAGGAGGAACACCAGUGGCGAAGGCGGUUUGCUGGACUGUAACUGACGCUGAGGCGCGAAAGCGUGGGGAGCAAACAGGAUUAGAUACCCGAGUAGUC
rnacentral:rRNA from 1 species